rnacentral:pre_miRNA from 1 species
AACAUACUCCCCCCGUCUCAAAAUUCUUGUCUUAGAUUUGUCUAGAUACGGAUGUAUCUAAUACUAAAAUGUGACUUGAUACAUCCGUAUUUAGACAAAUCUAAGACAAGAAUUUUAGGACGGAGGGAGUACGUA